rnacentral:rRNA from 1 species
UACGGGGGGAGCAAGCGUUGUUCGGAUUUACUGGGCGUAAAGCGCACGUAGGCGGACUCUUAAGUCAGGGGUGAAAUCCUGGAGCUCAACUCCAGAACUGCCCUUGAUACUGGGAGCCUUGAGUUCGGGAGAGGUGAGUGGAACUGCGAGUGUAGAGGUGAAAUUCGUAGAUAUUCGCAAGAACACCAGUGGCGAAGGCGGCUCACUGGCCCGAUACUGACGCUGAGGUGCGAAAGCGUGGGGAGCAAACAGG